GCAUGCUGAUUUUGGUGACCUUUUGCCUUCUCCUGAUCAGUAUAGGAGUCUUGUUGGUAAACUCUUAUUUCUGACUCAUACUAGGCGUGACAUCUGUUUUGCUGUGCAACAUCUGAGACAGUUCCUCAAAUGCCCCAGACUCCCCCAUUUGAUUGCUGCCCUUCAUGUGUUGAGAUAUCUUAAAGGCACUCCUUCUCUGGGCCUCUUUUAUUCUGAUUGCAAUGAUUUCACUGUUGUUGGUUAUUCUGAUAGUGACUGGGCUGCCUGCCCUGAUACAAGGAGGUCUGUUACUGGGUUCUGUAUUGUUCUGGGUGGUUGCCUGAUUAGUUGGAAAUCUAAAAAGCAACCAGUAGUUUCUUUAUCUUCUGCUGAGGCUGAAUACAGGGCCCUCAGUAAAGUUGUUGCUGAACUAUCUUGGUUGUCUCGUUUAUUUCUUGAUCUUGGAGUUUCUGUCUCUCUUCCUUUUUCUGUGUAUUGUGACAGCCAGGCUGCUAUUCACAUUGCUAAGAAUCCCGUUUUUCAUUAACGGACCAAACGAAGUGGACUGUCACUUUGUACGCGAUCAGCUCCAGACUGGUCUUAUUCAACUGUUUCAUGUCUCUACAACUCGUCAGCUGGCUGACCUUCUGACCAAGCCUUUGCCUGGGACUGUGCUUCAUCCAUUGUUGCUCAAGUUACAGGUGGUAUCCCCCUCCAACUUGAAGGGGGGGGGGGGGGCCUUUGCCUGGUACUGUUCUUAAUCCCUUGUUGCUCAAGUUGCAGGUGGUCUCACCCUCCAACUUGAGGGGGGGUGUUGAGAUGAGAGAUUAUACGUGACAUAGACUUGUAUAGCCUUGUAUAUUCAUUGUAUACUCAUUGUAUAUUUACUGUAUACCCAUGGUAUACCUUGUAAUGGGCUAUGAUGAUUACCUAUUCUGGACUGUGUAUCUGAGACCACAGGUAUUUAAUUUUGGGCCGGAUCACCCGACCCGACCCGAUAAUAUUUCUUUCCUCUUCCUAUUUUUGGGAUCAACUCUUAGUCAGGCACGAGACGGAACUAUGAUUUGAAGUUUAAAAAUUUAUGAUUUUAAAUUAUUUUAAUUAUUAAAUUCUAAAUUAGUAACGUAAACAUUUUCAAUGAUUCUAUACAAAUAUAAACUUCGGACCAGAACUGGUCAGCCGAACCCGUAAUCAGCAUACCAGCCCCGAUUGUUGAGAUGAGAGAUUAUACGUGACAUAGACUUGUAUAGACUUGUAUAGCCUUGUAUAUUCAUUGUAUACUCAUUGUAUAUUUACUGUAUACCCAUGGUAUACCUUGUAAUGGGCUAUGAUGAUUACCUAUUCUGGACUGUGUAUC
rnacentral:lncRNA from 1 species